UGGGACGGUGAGGGGUGCUGUAAAGAA
rnacentral:piRNA from 1 species